AUGCACACUUUUGCAUGGUAUAUUUCCACUUUAGAAUCUGACUGGGAGUUUAACUUCUCUGUUUGUAAAAACAGCAAUGUCUUCUUAUGUGCUAUACAAAUAAUUGAAGGUUAAUUAGCAGUAUAACUAAGUAGUAAUACUGCCAGUCUCCUUCAGACAAAA